UACGUAGGGGGCUAGCGUUGUCCGGAUUUAUUGGGCGUAAAGCGCGUGUAGGCGGCCAGGUAGGUCCGCUGUGAAAACUCGAGGCUCAACCUCGAGAUGUCGGCGGAAACCAUCUGGCUAGAGUCCGGAAGAGGAGAGUGGAAUUCCCAGUGUAGAGGUGAAAUUCGUAGAUAUUGGGAAGAACACCGGUGGCGAAGGCGGCGCUCUGGACCGAGACUGACGCUGAGGCGCGAAGGCGUGGGGGAGCAAACAGG
rnacentral:rRNA from 1 species